CCGAAUUCGAAUCCCGGAAGCAGAAUGGAGAGUUGCAAUCGUCACGCAAUCGAUAAUAAGUGCUAUUCUCCGACCCAAAUGAUUUGUGGUGCUAGGCCGAAGUACCUUUAGAGAAGAUGAAGAUGAUGAAGACCAUCAAGAAUGGCACAGCCAGAGAGCAGGCUAGAAUAUCAUAACUCCAACAUGGCCUAUCCAUCCUGUCUCCCUCUCACUGUGUGGAAUUUUAUUUCAUGGAUUCAUUCAAAAACAUUUCCCUUUAACCACUUCCUGGAGCUCCCAGAGACAGAUGUUGUACUAAAUAUGCACAAGGCACAGUUAACUCCACUAAGAUUAUACAAGUGCUGUUUAAACUUUCAGAAUAAACAAUAAUUUUUUCUUA